ACGGAAGGCAGCAGUGGGGAAUAUUGGACAAUGGGGGCAACCCUGAUCCAGCGACGCCGCGUGAGUGAAGAAGUAUUUCGGUAUGUAAAGCUCUUUAAGCAGGGAAGACAAUGACGGUACCUGCAGAAUAAGCCCCGGCUAACUACGUGCCAGCAGCCGCGGUAAUACGUAGGGGGCAAGCGUUAUCCGGAUUUACUGGGUGUAAAGGGAGCGUAGACGGCAUAGCAAGUCUGAAGUGAAAUGCGGGGGCUCAACCCCUGAACUGCUUUGGAAACUGUUAAGCUAGAGUGCAGGAGAGGUAAGUGGAAUUCCUAGUGUAGCGGCGAAAUGCGUAGAUAUUAGGAGGAACACCAGUGGCGAAGGCGGCUUACUGGACUGCAACUGACGUUGAGGCUCGAAAGCGUGGGGAGCAAACAGGAUUAGAUACCCUGGUA
rnacentral:rRNA from 1 species